GAUGAACGCUGGCGGCGUGCCUAAUACAUGCAAGUCGAGCGAACAGACGAGGAGCUUGCUCCUCUGACGUUAGCGGCGGACGGGUGAGUAACACGUGGAUAACCUACCUAUAAGACUGGGAUAACUUCGGGAAACCGGAGCUAAUACCGGAUAAUAUAUUGAACCGCAUGGUUCAAUAGUGAAAGACGGUUUUGCUGUCACUUAUAGAUGGAUCCGCGCCGCAUUAGCUAGUUGGUAAGGUAACGGCUUACCAAGGCGACGAUGCGUAGCCGACCUGAGAGGGUGAUCGGCCUCACUGGAACUGAGACACGGUCCAGACUCCUACGGGAGGCAGCAGUAGGGAAUCUUCCGCACUGGGCGAAAGCCUGACGGAGCAACGCCGCGUGAGUGAUGAAGGUCUUCGGAUCGUAAAACGCUGUUAUUAGGGAAGAACAAAUGUGUAAGUAACUAUGCACGUCUUGACGGUACCUAAUCAGAAAGCCACGGCUAACUACGUG
rnacentral:rRNA from 1 species